AUGCGUCUGAUUAGCUUGUUGGUGAGGUAACGGCUCACCAAGGCAACGAUCAGUAGGGGUUCUGAGAGGAAGGUCCCCCACAUUGGAACUGAGACACGGUCCAAACUCCUACGGGAGGCAGCAGUGAGGAAUAUUGGUCAAUGGGCGCAAGCCUGAACCAGCCAAGUAGCGUGCAGGAAGACGGCCCUAUGGGUUGUAAACUGCUUUUAUACGAGAAUAAUUUGAUGCACGUGUGCGUUAUUGCAUGUAUCGUAUGAAUAAGGACCGGCUAAUUCCGUGCCAGCAGCCGCGGUAAUACGGAAGGUCCAGGCGUUAUCCGGAUUUAUUGGGUUUAAAGGGAGUGUAGGCGGUUUGUUAAGCGUGUUGUGAAAUUUAGAUGCUCAACAUUUAACUUGCAGCGCGAACUGGCGAACUUGAGUGCACACAACGUAUGCGGAAUUCAUGGUGUAGCGGUGAAAUGCUUAGAUAUCAUGAAGAACUCCGAUUGCGAAGGCAGCAUACGGGAGUGUAACUGACGCUUAAGCUCGAAGGUGCGGGUAUCGAACAGGAUUAGAUACCCUGGUAGUCCGCACAGUAAACGAUGGAUGCCCGCUGUUAGCGCCUGGCGUUAGCGGCUAAGCGAAAGCAUUAAGCAUCCCACCUGGGGAGUACGCCGGCAA
rnacentral:rRNA from 1 species